AAUUGAGUUGCUCUCUUGGUUCGAUUUAAAUUGUUUGAUCGACAUCGAUCUGGAGUGAAUUUGGAGGAAGUGUAGACCCUAAAAGGUCGUAUCUCAAACUCGAUGUUGGCAUGUGAUGCAAGAAUUUGACUUACAAGUGGGUGUAGAUCAAGGGUUGAUGUUAAUCUACUAUCCGAUGUAAUUCGAUACGUUCCAUUGAUGUGAGGAGGGGCCAAUGUUCAUGCUUAAGCCUCUAGUGUUAUCACCGAACUCAAGACAAUUGAAUGCUGCAAGAUUGUGUACUAAGAGUAUGCAGACUGAUUUUACGUGUCAAGACUUUCCACUGCGAUUUCAACCACAGUGUACGUAUGUUUUCAGUG